CCUCCGGGCGCCCACCUCCCACCCGUGAAUACCUAACACUGUUGCUUCGGCGGGGAACCCCCUCGGGGGCGAGCCGCCGGGGACUACUGAACUUCAUGCCUGAGAGUGAUGCAGUCUGAGUCUGAAUAUAAAAUCAGUCAAAACUUUCAACAAUGGAUCUCUUGGUUCCGGCAUCGAUGAAGAACGCAGCGAACUGCGAUAAGUAAUGUGAAUUGCAGAAUUCAGUGAAUCAUCGAGUCUUUGAACGCACAUUGCGCCCCCUGGCAUUCCGGGGGGCAUGCCUGUCCGAGCGUCAUUGCUGCCCAUCAAGCCCGGCUUGUGUGUUGGGUCGUCGUCCCCCCCGGGGGACGGGCCCGAAAGGCAGCGGCGGCACCGUGUCCGGUCCUCGAGCGUAUGGGGCUUUGUCACCCGCUCGACUAGGGCCGGCCGGGCGCCAGCCGACGUCUCCAACCAUUUUUCUUCAGGUUGACCUCGGAUCAGGUAGGGAUACCCGCUGAACUUAAGCAUAUCAA
rnacentral:rRNA from 1 species